rnacentral:rRNA from 1 species
GGAUGAAGGGAACUAAAAAAAAUCUUUUUUUAUUAAUUUAUUUAAAUUUUACCUUUUAGUAAAAAGGCUAAAAUAUCUUUUUUAGACAAGAAGACCCUAUAAAUCUUUACAUUAUUUUUAUAUAAAAUUAAAAUAAAUGUUAAACUGGGGCGGUUAGAGAUAAUUAAACAUUUCUAAAAAAUAAGAAUUAAAAUUUUUAUAUCCAAAAAUUUUGAAAAUUAAUAAGAUACUUUAGGGAUAACAGCGUAAUUUAUUUUUAGAGUUCUUAUCGACAAAUAAGCUUGCGACCUCGAUGUUGAAUUAAAAUUUCUUUAUUAUGAAAAAGAAAUAAUAGAAGGUCUGUUCGACCUUAAAAAUUUUCCA